GAAACUACAGGUAAUACCGGAUGAGACCACAGUACCUUUGGGUACAGCGGUCAAAGGGUGGGGAUCUCUUCGGAGACCUAUCGGCUUAGGAGCGGCCCAUAUCCUAUCAGCUUGUUGGUAAGGUAGUGGCUUACCAAGGCAAUGACGGGUACCGGGACUGAGAGGUUGAUCCGGCGCAUUGGGACUGAGACACUGCCCAGACUCCUACGGGAGGCUGCAGUAACGAAUAUUGGACAAUGAACGAAAGUUUGAUCCAGCGACGCCGCGUGUAGGAAGAAGUCCCUCGGGAUGUAAACUACUGUCAGGGACUNCCAAGCAAUUGGGGCUAAUAUCUCCAUGCGUUGAGGAAUCCCAGAGGAAGCCACGGCUAACUUCGUGCCAGCAGCCGCGGUAAGACGAAGGUGGCGAGCGUUGUUCGGAAUCACUGGGCUUAAAGAGCACGUAGGUGGAUUGUCAAGCGUUAUGUGAAAGCCCUCGGCUUAACCGAGGAACUGCAUUGCGAACUGGCAGUCUUGA
rnacentral:rRNA from 1 species